rnacentral:misc_RNA from 1 species
CAUACCACGAAUACUCACGGCGAUCGCCCUUGCUGGCAAACAACAGAUCGGCAAGCUAAAGCCAACGCUUGACGGGCACUUGGACACGCACACGUGCACGCACAGAGAAAGAGAGAGAGAGAAACGCUUUUCCGACCCCUCUUCUACCCCGUUGUGGUGAUACUGUUCAAUCUUUUCGGUGUGUGUGGUUUUGCUCGCUUUGCGCCUCUGCAGCGCCAAAAAAGGUCAUUGGCGGAUUCUUCCUCGGCGCCAGUAUGGAGGCCAACGUCCCGGGAGCGUUUCUGCACAGCCUUAUCGGCAAAAACGUGCUUGUGAAGAGCAAGUGGGGCCCGGUGUACGAGGGUAACCUUGUAAGCUGCGACACAUUCAUGAACCUGCAGCUGCGCAAUGCGGUAGAGCACGCGAAACAGGACACCGAACUGGGUGAAAUGCUGUUGCGCAACAACAACAUCCUGUACAUCCGUGAGGAGGCUAGUGCGUCUUGAUAGGCAGCACCAUAGGUGCCCUCGGGAGAAAUCGCGGUGCUCCAUCGUUGGUAGCACCAUCCCCACAUGUCUCGAGGGCAGCGGUGAGCGUGUUUCAUUAGUGUACAGCACGCUUGAUGAGUGGGAUACACGAAAACGAGGCCGGGGGGUCACGACAGUUUUUCUCUGGGAUAAAACAACGGCACCGUUGUCACUGAUGAAUCGUGGGCCUCUCUGUGAUCUGUUGACAACAGGUGCGCGUGUUUGUUUGCUCUGGUCGCGGAACGCUCUGUAUCCGUCCUCGCACAUGUAUGCUGACGCGUCGGUGUGUGUGGAUGCGCCGGCUUAUUUUUUUCUGAGAACGGAAGGCGGGCAUGAGCUUCAGCUCUGAAGGUGCCGUUUAGCCGCAGUCGGUUUUGUAAC